rnacentral:rRNA from 1 species
AGUGAAUAGAUACCCUGGUAGUCCUAGCCGUAAACGAUACUCGCUAGGUGUCGGCCACGGUGCGACCGUUGUCGGUGCCGUAGGGAAAGCCGUGAAGCGAGCCACCUGGGAAGUACGGCCGCAAGGCUGAAACUUAAAGGAAUUGGCGGGGGAGCACCACAACGGGUGGAGCUUGCGGUUUAAAUUGGAUUCAACGCCGGAAAUCUUACCGGGACCGACAGCAACAUGAAGGCCAGGCUGAAGACUUUGCCGGAUUAGCUGAGAGGUGGUGCAUGGCCGUCGUCAGUUCGUACUGUGAAGCAUCCUGUUAAGUCAGGCAACGAGCGAGACCCACGCCCACAGUUGCCAGCGUACUCUCCGGAGUGACGGGUACACUGUGGGGACCGCCGCUGCUAAAGCGGAGGAAGGAAUGGGCAACGGUAGGUCAGUAUGCCCCGAAUAUCCCGGGCUACACGCGAGCUACAAUGGUUGGUACAAUGGGUAUCUACCCCGAAAGGGUAUGGAAAUCUCCUAAAGCCAAUCUUAGUUCGGAUUGAGGGCUGCAACUCGCCCUC